ensembl:lncRNA
CACACACACACACACACACACACACACACACACACACACACACACACAUAGAAAAUAACAGAAUAACAGACGCAGGUAAAUAUAGUUCUACGUUAGUGACUGCACAUUCCAAAUGGAUGAGUUCAGUUAUCAGGGGUUUCUGCUCCAACUCGGUGUGUGUGUGUGUGUGUUUGGGUUUGUGUUUGAAAAGAAAACGCAUUGGAUUUUGGCAGGAGGAUUCACAUGGGGCUAAAUAGGGGAGUGAGAGAGGAGCGCAGAAACACAUACGCAUUAUUAUUACACACAUUUUUCAACUAUAAACAUACAUGACAUUGUGGCUAAUGGUGGUGCAUGCAGCCCCUAAUGCUUUACUAAUCACCUUGGUCUAGAUUUCACAGCUUGAGCCUCUUCUGAAUCACACACACAAACACAAGCGCACAAGCACACGCACACAGAGACAGACACAGCAUGCGAUUCCCCCCCCCACCAUUGGCCUUAAAAGGGACAGGGCUUCAAUUAGCAUACCGAAUUGAACCCUACUUUCAUCUGCACCCGACUAUUCUCACCAUUUAAGUUACUCCCCGUGUCCAUCCCUCCCCUCCUACUUGCCCCUCUCUCUAUCCCUACCUCUGUGCUGAUCUCCCCCGGUCGCCCAACAUCAUCCACUGAAUACUGGGUUCUGACCUGUUUCUCCCAACAUGUUUCCCUUCAUUAUCACCCUCACAUUUAUAUUCUCUUCUUCUCUCUCGCUCUCCCCCUGUCUGUAUGAAUCCACCAACCUGCAAUUUCCUCAGCCUGUAUACAGCUGUCUCUUACCAUCAUAUCAUCCCCCCCGUUUGACUGGUGCUGCCUGCUGCCCGCGAUGCGACCCCACCGACAGAGAAUAAAUACCCCUCCACUAAUGCCCAUCCCUCCCACUCGCCCCCCCCACGCCCCGUUCAGGCGUUGGCUCUCUCCUUACUAACCCUGCCUUCUCUCCUCCCUCCACCCCUCCUCCACCCACUGUUGGAUGGCCACGUAGAAGAGCCCGCCGGACGGCAAGAGGAAGGCAUCAAUCACGAGUGCAAGCUGUGUAACCAGAUGUUUGACUCUCCGGCCAAGCUGCUGUGUCACCUGAUAGAGCACAGCUUCGAGGGCAUGGGAGGAACCUUCAAGUGUCCCGUCUGUUUCACAGUGUUUGUCCAGGCCAAUAAGCUCCAGCAGCACAUAUUCGCCGUCCACGGGCAGGAAGACAAAAUUUACGACUGUUCCCAGUGUCCGCAGAAGUUCUUCUUUCAGACCGAGCUACAGAACCACACGCUGAGUCAGCAUGCGCAGUGAGCCUCCUCGCCCGGCUGGAUACCCGGGCCCACCUCCACACCCCAUCGCCCAACCCCCCCCCCCCCCCCCACCCGACCCAGAGACGGUGGAGGGUUGGAGGGGUGGGGCGGGAGGGAGGGGGGUGCGAUCUCCACAUCGCAGCCAAUCAAAGUGUCAUUUGCUACUCCCAUGUAAAAGUCUAACGAUUGUGCCGCUGGGCACGGCUAUUAGGAGAGACUGGAGGGGGAUUAAUGGGAUAUACUAUUAAAGACCCACACAGAAACAUGAACAUGAAUGAAGGGAGAUGGAUGAGGAAAAACAAAAAGAGAGGUGGGGGGGAAAGGUAUUGUACAAGCAGUAUUCUUUAUAUUUGUCCUUCUACCAAGCAGCCAGCCCCCGGUCGUCCUCCCCACACUCCACCUCUCUCCACCUCACCACACCCACCCUCCCCUCCUUCCUAUCGGGCUCUUUUUUAUAAUGAAAACCCCCUGGAAGAAAACAAAAGAAAAAAAAAAUAUUGUUUUGUGUUGUUUUGUUUUUAAAAUUGUAGGAAAAUUGUAUUAAAAAAUGACAGGUGCCAAUUUCUAUUUUCUGUUUUUUUUUUUGUCAUAUGCGCUUAUUUUUCCUUCUUAUUUUCAUUGUUGGAUCUUUCAUUUAUCACUGUAAGUAGGUACUUGUGCCGUGUUGUGAUUGUUUACCAGUCCAGUUUUUGUCCCCUUCCCACAAACCUCUCCUUUUUAUGAUUGUUAAAUAUAUAUUUUUUCCUUUUUGUAAUUACUAUGGAAAAAUACAUCAAACUAAAUAAAGUCCAGAAAAACAUACUUAUUCUUGAUUUGUUUUGUUUUAUUCCAAAAAAAAAAGAAAAGAAAAGAAUAAAUUAAACAUAAAAUUUUGCGUUCCUG